rnacentral:rRNA from 1 species
UACAGAGGUCUCGAGCGUUAGGCGGAAUCACUGGGCUUAACGCGUGUGUAGGCGGAUCGUUAAGUGCCUUGUGAAAUCCCACGGCUCAACCGUGGAACUGCUUGGCAUACUGGCGGUCUUGAGCAACCUAGGGGCGAGCGGAACAAAUGGUGGAGCGGUGAAAUGCGUAGAUAUCAUUUGGAACGCCAAUGGUGAAAACAGCUCGCUGGGGGUUUGCUGACGCUGAGACACGAAAGCCAGGGGAGCAAACGGG